UCACAGGUGGGCGAGAUGAGUAUUCUAAGGCGCUUGAGAGAACUCGGGAGAAGGAACUCGGCAAAUUGGUACCGUAACUUCGGGAAAAGGUACGCCCCGGUAGCUUGAUUGGUUUACUCCAUGAGGGUGAAAGGGUUGCAAUAAACUGGUGGCUGCGACUGUUUAAUAAAAACACAGCACUCUGCAAACACGAAAGUGGACGUAUAGGGUGUGACGCCUGCCCGGUGCUGGAAGAUUAAAUGAUGGGGUGCAAGCUCUUGAUUGAAGUCCCAGUAAACGGCGGCCGUAACUAUAACGGUCCUAAGGUAGCGAAAUUCCUUGUCGGGUAAGUUCCGACCUGCACGAAUGGCGUAACGAUGGCCACACUGUCUCCUCCCGAGACUCAGCGAAGUUGAAAUGUUUGUGAUGAUGCAAUCUACCCGCGGCUAGACGGAAAGACCCCAUGAACCUUUACUGUAGCUUUGCAUUGGACUUUGAACCAAUCUGUUAGGAUAGGUGGGAGGCUUUGAAGCGGGGACGCUAGUUCUCGUGGAGCCAACCUUGAAAUACCACCCUGGUUUGUUUGAGGUUCUAACCUUGGUCCGUUAUCCGGAUCGGGGACAGUGCAUGGUAGGCAGUUUGACUGGGGCGGUCUCCUCCUAAAGUGUAACGGAGGAGUUCGAAGGUACGCUAGAUACGGUCGGACAUCGUGUUGAUAGUGCAAUGGCAUAAGCGUGCUUAACUGCGAGACUGACAAGUCGAGCAGGUACGAAAGUAGGACAUAGUGAUCCGGUGGUUCUGUAUGGAAGGGCCAUCGCUCAACGGAUAAAAGGUACUCUGGGGAUAACAGGCUGAUUCCUCCCAAGAGUUCAUAUCGACGGGGGAGUUUGGCACCUCGAUGUCGGCUCAUCACAUCCUGGGGCUGUAGCCGGUCCCAAGGGUAUGGCUGUUCGCCAUUUAAAGUGGUACGUGAGCUGGGUUUAAAACGUCGUGAGACAGUUUGGUCCCUAUCUGCCGUGGGCGUUGGAAAUUUGAAGGGGGCUGCUCCUAGUACGAGAGGACCGGAGUGGACGAACCUCUGGUGUACCGGUUGUCACGCCAGUGGCAUUGCCGGGUAGCUAAGUUCGGAAGAGAUAACCGCUGAAAGCAUCUAAGCGGGAAACUUGCCUUGAGAUGAGAUUUCCCAGAGCCUUGAGCUCUUUGAAGGGUCGUUCGAGACCAGGACGUUGAUAGGCUGGGUGUGGAAGUG
rnacentral:rRNA from 1 species